rnacentral:rRNA from 1 species
UACGUAGGGGGCUAGCGUUGUCCGGAAUCAUUGGGCGUAAAGAGCGUGUAGGCGGCCCGGUAAGUCCGCUGUAAAAGUCAAAGGCUCAACCUUUGAAUGUCAGUGGAUACUGUCGGGCUAGAGUCCGGAAGAGGCGAGUGGAACUCCUGGUGUAGCGGUGGAAUGCGCAGAUAUAAGGAAGAACACCAACGGCGAAGGCAGCUCGCUAGGACGGUACUGACGCUGAGACGCGAAAGCGUGGGGAGCGAACAGG